UACGUAGGGUGCGAGCGUUAAUCGGAAUUACUGGGCGUAAAGCGUGCGCAGGCGGUUUUGUAAGCCAGAUGGGAAAUCCCCGGGCUUAACCUGGGAAUGGCAUUUGGGACUGCAAGGCUGGAGUGCGGCAGAGGAGACUGGAAUUCCUGGUGUAGCAGUGAAAUGCGUAGAUAUCAAGAGGAACACCAGUGGCGAAGGCGAGUCCCUGGACAACUUCUGACGCUGAGGCACGAAAGCCAGGGGAGCGAACGGG
rnacentral:rRNA from 1 species